CAGGAAAACCGUUGCAAAAUUAAACAUUUAUUAUCGAGAAUUAAACUACAAAACUACUAGUGAGACUCCAGCAUUUCCAGCCGAGGUGAUGCUUUCAGCUCUUGGUGGGCAGUUGGGGCUGUUUUUUGGUUGUUCUGUCCUCUCUUUAGCCGAAAUCCUCGAACUUUUGGUGGAUCUCACCACCGUCACCCUGCUGGUUGUCCUGGGCCGUUGUCUCGGCACCCGUGCACAGGAUCCGGCCUAGUCGGCCAGGUUCCAGCCUAGUCUGAUCGCCACGGAAACCAGGCCUAACUUUCCAGGCUUCAGACACACAAGUUCACAGGUUCAUCAGUUCUAGGAGCAGAAUUAGGUCAUGCGGCCCAUUGACUCUACUCUGCCAUUCAAUCGUCUUUCCCUCUCAACCCCACUCUCCUGCUUUCUCCCCAUAACCCUUGACACCCGUACUAACCAAGAAUCUGUCAAUCUCUGCCUUAAAAAUACCCAUUGUCUUGGCCUCCACCAUCUGAGACAAAGAAUUCCACAGAUUCGCCACCUUCUGAAAAAAUUAAUUCCUUUCCCUCCAGGUUUAGUUUAGUUUAGAUUAGAGAUACAGCGCGGAAACAGGCCUUUCGGCCCACCAAGCCCGCACCGACCAGUGAUCCCCGCACACUAACACUAUCCUACACACGCUUGGAACUAGGGUUUUAAUAAUAACCUGUUCACACUAGUUUAGUUUAGUUUAGAUUAGAGAUACAGCGCAGAAACAGGCCCUUUGGCCCACCGAGUCCACGCCAACCAGCGAUCACCCGUUCACACUAGUUUAGUUGAAGAGAUCCAGUAGGGAAACAGGCCCUUCAGCCCACAGAGUCCACACAGCCAGAGAUUCCCACAGACUAACACCACACACUGGGACCAUUUUUUUACAGUUUAUACUAACCUGUUCACACUAGUUUAGUUUAGAGAUAGAGUAUGGAAACAGGCUUUUUGCCCCACCGUUUCAGCGCCGACCAGCGAUCACCCCUACGCGACACACUAUGGACAAUUUAACCAAAAUCAAUUAACCUACAAACCUGUACGACUUUGGAGUGUGGGAGGAAACCGGAGCACCAGGAGAAAACCCACGCAGAUCACGGGGAGAAUGUGCAAACUCCGUACAGACAGUACUCAUGGUCAGCUUUGAACCCGGGUCCCUGGCACUGUAUUUGCAGCAACACUACCACAGGCUUUGGCCUAAUCAGAUCACCACGGCGUCCUGGCCUAGUAAAUUGUCGGAGCCGCCUAUGCCUCGGCCUAGUUCCUCAGGCAUCAGCCUAGUCAGAUUGUCAUGGCAACAGGGCUUAAUAAAUGGUCAAUGGUCUCACUGAA